rnacentral:lncRNA from 1 species
UCCUUAGUGGUUGGGCCUUAGUUUCUUCAUUUGGAAGGUGGGGGUGUGGGAAGCAACCAGUCAUAACUUGCCGCAGGCACUGUGGCAGUGAGAUAACAGGAGUAUGCCAGUGUCCAGGGCAUCUCACCCUCAUGAGCCCUGCACCCAUCCCUCAGGUGUUCAAAUCUCGAACGCCGCCAGAGGCCAUCGCGCUCUGCUCUAGCCUGCUGGAGUACACCCCAUCCUCAAGGCUCUCCCCACUAGAGGCCUGUGCGCACAGCUUCUUUGAUGAACUGCGAUGUCUGGGAACCCAGCUGCCUAACAACCGCCCACUUCCCCCUCUCUUCAACUUCAGUGCUGGUGAACUCUCCAUCCAACCGUCUCUCAACGCCAUUCUCAUCCCUCCUCACUUGAGGUCCCCAGCGGGCACUACCACCCUCACCCCGUCCUCACAAGCUUUAACUGAGACUCCGACCAGCUCAGACUGGCAGUCGACCGAUGCCACACCUACCCUCACUAACUCCUCCUGAGGGCCCCACCAAGCACCCUUCCACUUCCAUCUGGGAGCCCCAAGAGGGGCUGGGAAGGGGGGCCAUAGCCCAUCAAGCUCCUGCCCUGGCUGGGCCCCUAGACUAGAGGGCAGAGGUAAAUGAGUCCCUGUCCCCACCUCCAGUCCCUCCCUCACCAGCCUCACCCCUGUGGUGGGCUUUUUAAGAGGAUUUUAACUGGUUGUGGGGAGGGAAGAGAAGGACAGGGUGUUGGGGGGAUGAGGACCUCCUACC